rnacentral:lncRNA from 1 species
CAUGCAAAGUAAUAAGUAGUGAGAAAACCAUUUCCCACUUCCCUUUUUGGUAUGAUAUCUAGAGAAAGAGUCUCAGAGAACUUGGACUCUCUGAAUCAUGGUUCAUCUAGUUUAGAUUGGGUCUCAAUCGGGUUUAAAUCGAGUCCGAAAUGAGCCAAAUUCGAAAAGUUGUCAAGCCUGAUCCAAUCAAGCUUGAAAUCUAAAUCUGAUUUAAAUAAUUGAACCCAAUUAAUAUUAAAUUAAAUUAAGU